AUUAAACGCUGGCGGCAUGCCUUACACAUGCAAGUCGAACGGUAGCGCGGGGCAACCUGGCGACGAGUGGCGAACGGGUGAGUAAAGCAUCGGAACGUGCCCUGGAAUGGGGGAUAACGUAGCGAAAGUUACGCUAAUACCGCAUAUUCUGUGAGCAGGAAAGCAGGGGAUCGCAAGACCUUGCGUUCUGGGAGCGGCCGAUGUCGGAUUAGCUAGUUGGUGGGGUAAAAGCCUACCAAGGCGACGAUCCGUAGCGGGUCUGAGAGGAUGAUCCGCCACACUGGGACUGAGAACGGCCCAGACUCCUACGGGAGGCAGCAGUAGGGAAUUUUCCACAAUGGACGAAAGUCUGAUGGAGCAACGCCGCGUGCAGGAUGAAUGCCUUCGGGUUGUAAACUGCUUUUAUCUGUGACGAAUAUGACGGUAGCAGAUGAAUAAGGAUCGGCUAACUCCGUGCCAGCAGCCGCGGUAAU
rnacentral:rRNA from 1 species